rnacentral:rRNA from 1 species
CGCGUAGGCGGUUUGUUAAGUUGGAUGUGAAAGCCCCGGGCUCAACCUGGGAAUUGCACCCGAUACUGGCCGACUAGAGUACGAGAGAGGGAGGUAGAAUUCCACGUGUAGCGGUGAAAUGCGUAGAUAUGUGGAGGAAUACCGGUGGCGAAGGCGGCCUCCUGGCUCGAUACUGACGCUGAGGUGCGAAAGCGGUGGGGAGCAAACA